GACGAACGCUGGCGGCGUGCCUAAUACAUGCAAGUAGAACGCUGAAGGAGGAGCUUGCUUCUCUGGAUGAAUUGCGAACGGGUGAGUAACGCGUAGGUGACCUGCCUGGUGACGGGGGAUAACUAUUGGAAACGAUAGCUAAUACCGCAGAAGAGUAGAUGUUGCAUGACAUUUGCUUAAAAGGUGCAAUUGCAUCACUACCAGAUGGACCUGCGUUGUAUUAGCUAGUUGGUGGGGUAACGGCUCACCAAGGCGACCAUACAUAGCCGACCUGAGAGGGUGAUCGGCCACACUGGGACUGAGACACGGCCCAGACUCCUACGGGAGGCAGCAGUAGGGAAUCUUCGGCAAUGGACGGAAGUCUGACCGAGCAACGCCGCGUGAGUGAAGAAGGUUUUCGGAUCGUAAAGCUCUGUUGUAAGAGAAGAACGAGUGUGAGAGUGGAAAGUUCACACUGUGACGGUAUCUUACCAGAAAGGGACGGCUAACUACGUGCCAGCAGCCGCGGUAAUACGUAGGUGGCAAGCGUUAUCCGGAUUUAUUGGGCGUAAAGAGAGUGCAGGCGGUUUUCUAAGUCUGAUGUGAAAACCUUCGGCUUAACCGGAGAAGUGCAUCGGAAACUGGAUAACUUGAGUGCAGAAGAGGGUAGUGGAACUCCAUGUGUAGCGGUGGAAUGCGUAGAUAUAUGGAAGAACACCAGUGGCGAAGGCGGCUACCUGGUCUGCAACUGACGCUGAGACUCGAAAGCAUGGGUAGCGAACAGG
rnacentral:rRNA from 1 species